AGUGAACGCUGGCGGUAGGCCUAACACAUGCAAGUCGAACGGCAGCACAGUAAGAGCUUGCUCUUACGGGUGGCGAGUGGCGGACGGGUGAGGAAUACAUCGGAAUCUACUUUUUCGUGGGGGAUAACGUAGGGAAACUUACGCUAAUACCGCAUACGACCUACGGGUGAAAGCAGGGGAUCUUCGGACCUUGCGCGAUUGAAUGAGCCGAUGUCGGAUUAGCUAGUUGGCGGGGUAAAGGCACACCAAGGCGACGAUCCGUAGCUGGUCUGAGAGGAUGAUCAGCCACACUGGAACUGAGACACGGUCCAGACUCCUACAGGAGGCAGCAGUGGGGAAUAUUGGACGAUGGGCGCAAGCCUGAUCCAGGCAUACCGCGUGGGUGAAGAAGGCCUUCGGGUUGUAAAGCCCUUUUGUUGGGAAAGAAAAGCAGCAGGUUAAUACCCCGCUGUUCUGACGGUACCCAAAGAAUAAGCACCGGCUAACUUCGUG
rnacentral:rRNA from 1 species